rnacentral:rRNA from 1 species
CCUACGGGGGGCAGCAGUGGGGAAUAUUGCACAAUGGGCGCAAGCCUGAUGCAGCCAUGCCGCGUGUAUGAAGAAGGCCUUCGGGUUGUAAAGUACUUUCAGCGGGAGGAAGGCGAUAAGGUUAAUAACCUUGUCGAUUGACGUUACCCGCAGAAGAAGCACCGGCUAACUCCGUGCCAGCAGCCGCGAUAAUACGGUGGGUGCAAGCGUUAAUCGGAAUUACUGGGCGUAAAGCGCACGCAGGCGGUCUGUCAAGUCGGAUGUGAAAUCCCCGGGCUCAACCUGGGAACUGCAUUCGGAACUGGCAGGCUGGAGUCUUGUAGAGGGGGGUAGAAUCCCAGGUGUAGCGGUGAAAUGCGUAGAGAUCUGGAGGAAUACCGGUGGCGAAGGCGGCCCCCUGGACAAAGACUGACGCUCAGGUGCGAAAGCGUGGGGAGCAAACAGGAUUAGAUACCCUGGUAGUC